UACGUAGGGUGCAAGCGUUGUCCGGAAUUACUGGGCGUAAAGGGCGCGUAGGCGGCUUGUCAAGUCACUUGUGAAAUCUCUGGGCUUAACCCAGAACGGCCAAGUGAAACUGACAUGCUAGAGUGCAGAAGGGGCAAUCGGAAUUCUUGGUGUAGCGGUGAAAUGCGUAGAUAUCAAGAGGAACACCUGAGGUGAAGACGGGUUGCUGGGCUGACACUGACGCUGAGGCGCGAAAGCCAGGGGAGCAAACGGG
rnacentral:rRNA from 1 species